UACGUAGGGUGCAAGCGUUGUCCGGAAUUAUUGGGCGUAAAGAGCUCGUAGGCGGUUAGUCGCGUCUGCUGUGAAAACUCGGGGCUUAACUCCGGGCCUGCAGUGGGUACGGGCUGACUAGAGUGCGGUAGGGGAGACUGGAAUUCCUGGUGUAGCGGUGAAAUGCGCAGAUAUCAGGAGGAACACCGGUGGCGAAGGCGGGUCUCUGGGCCGUAACUGACGCUGAGGAGCGAAAGCGUGGGGAGCGAACGGG
rnacentral:rRNA from 1 species